CUUCACGUCACUCGUCUGCUAGAGGUUUACUAGCAUACUCCGAGAGACCACGGUGCGCCCAGUGAGUGACAGCGCCGUGCGGUACGUUAAGAAGCCAGGGUGAUCCCGAGGGCCAUCGCCAGCUCGAAAGCUUAGCAGUGACACAAUCAGAUCUGGGCUGCAGGAAGUUCCCUGGUUUCGAGGGACUGAGAACGGUUGGGAGACCUUCUCAAUUUUCCAGGUGGGGCCACAGCAGAGUCUGUGGGGUUGGAAAUAAUUGGUUUUGGUGUUAAUUUUCUUCUGGAGCAAUGGAACACGCGAAUUUUGCCUUUGAUCUCUUCCCACCAACUCCAGGAGUGUCUUCUCUCUCUGGAGCAGCUACUGGCAGAAGGAACGGCUCAGCCUGAGAGGUGGACAGGGCUCCAAUCCCAGCUCCACUCCUGUGUGGUUUUGGGCAAAGGGACUUGGUUUCUCAGUCUCGUGGGACAUUGUUCACGACCUCACGGGGUUGUUAGGAUGAAGGCCAGUAGGUCCAGCACGGGAGGGGGCCUGCACAAAGGUGGCAUUUGGGAAAGGGAAGCUGGUGUGAAUCACUCAUGUGUCUGGGCUGUCUUUUCAGGCGCUUAUUUUCAUGCAACUGUGCUGAGGCUCUCGCCACUUCCUGGUGUGCAGGUCCACUCUGGCCACUCAGAGCCAGCCAGGGAAUGUGGGACCCGGGCUGAGCCUGGGUUGAGCAGAAGGAGUACCUACCUAUUCGGUGACGGACUCCAUGGGGACUUUAAUAUCUGAACCCUGAAAGAUGGAGAGCAGGGAUGGGACAGUGCCCUUGCCCCUGCGACCCUGCACCCUGGCACUCUGUGGCUGGCUGACAAAUGAGUCAGCCCCAGCCGAGCCCCGGAGCCCCUGCACAGCAGGCCGUGUCCGUCCAGGGAGUGCGGGGCAGUUCCGUGGAGCUGGCCUGUGGCCCGGGGCCUACCCCCGUGAUGGUCCUCUGGAGCUUCACCCCGCUGGGCUCCCCGGUCCCCCAGCCUGUGGCUCUCACCAACGGAGUGGUGUCCAAGGUGGAGGCUGCAGCCUCGGCUCUGGGCUCCGUGAGCCUGAGGAACGGCAGCCUCGUGCUGGAGGAGCUCCAGGAGGGUGCCCGCGGCCACUUCCUGUGCCAGGCCCUGCACACAGCGGACGGCCAGCUCCACGCCGCCUACUCCUACCUCUCGCUGGCGGUGCUGGGUGAGGCGCCCACUCAGGAUGGCAGCCGGGCUGCAGCUGCUCUGUGUCCGGCUAUGUCUGCUUCUCUCUGCAUGUGCUGCUUCCCACUCUCUCUGCAUGUGCCGGGCUGGGUCCUAAGGAGUGGCCCCCACCCAGGGAGUGAGGAGACCUGGGAUUGGGAGGAAGGGCUGUUCGGGCAGGGUGG
rnacentral:lncRNA from 1 species